AGUCGCAUGCAGGACAGCACCGCGUGCGGCAGCUGCUCUGGUGGCCUCCUGCUUACCCGGCCCUCCACUUUACCGUUAGCACGGAGUGCGGCACCCUGCUUGGGCCUUUCGGCUCUGCCUCCCCUGCCCGUCACGGCGGGUCACGACAUCGGCCAGGACGCAGCAGAAGGGACAAGACACGCAAAGAAGAUGGCGCACCCACCUCGGCACCGAAGGCCAGUGCGACCUCCCGGGAGCAGGCGGGCCAGCACGGGCCUUCCCGGAGGAGACAGCUAAGCCGAGACCUGGGACUGCAGAGGAGAAACAAGGAGGAGGCAGGCGGGGCCCGGUGCCCUCCUCGUCUGCCGUGCCGGGUGGACGGUCUGCUCGCCUGUCUGCGUGACGAAACUGAGGCACAAAGACGCGCUAUGCCAGCGGCGGGUAUAGCAAGGGCUCCCUCCGCGCCACGUGUUGCCAUCCACCACACAGGAAUGACCGUCUCCGUGUCAUAGAUGGGAAACCAGGACGUGUAGGCAUCAGCAGGUGCAGGCCCUGGAAGACAAGGGAGGAGCCUGUGAGCCACCGGCCCACGUGAAAGUAAAUGCAUGAAGUUCCCUCUCGCUGAACUGAAAAGAGCCUCAACCUGGACCUGACACCAACUUCGCCGGUGCUGCCUGGCUGGUUGCUCUAGCGCCCUGAAGGAGAGGAAUGCAGUCAUAUUUCACUGUGAUUUUCAGUGUCAUUUCCACGAAGACUAAUGAUGUUGAGCUUUUUUUUCUCCAUAAUACAGGAAAGAGACCCAAACCCAUGAAGAAUGAGAUACAUGUACAGUUUUGAUUAUAAAACCAAAGAAUAAUGGCUUCACAAGAUGACGGCUGGGCUCCUGGGCUGCCUUCAGUGUCUUUAAACAGAGAUAGAGUCUUGCUAUGUUGUCCAGGCUGACACUGAACUCUUGGGCUCCAACGAUCCUCCUGCCCCGGCCUCCUGAGUACCUGGGAUUAUAGGCACAAGUCACCAUGCCCAGCCGGAAUAAUCUGAAGGAAAGACGGGUAUAUUCAAGAUGACUUUGCUGCUGGAAAUAUGACAGAAUAAUGUGGUAUCUUCUUCUGCACUUCCAAGCUCUUUCACACUCAGGCUCUUCCUGGCUUUUCUGCCUCAGCCACCAUAAACUGUGGUUGCUUCUCCAGCUCUGUUACAGUUCAGACUUGAGGGGAGGUGACAAGAGCUAACAUGUUACCAUGGGGAGCCUGGCUGACAUCUCCGAAACUGAAGACUCUAUGGAAGCCUCAUGCUAUUGCAAUGUGUACAUCAAAAGUAAAGUACCCCAGGUUAAAACUAUGAGGAAGUUGCCAUCUUUACUUCCAGGAGCAAAGACACUGAAACUGUCCCCUGUAAGCCCCUUAAUUUCAUACAGUCCUCUGACUGCCCCCCCAACCCUGGCUACUUUUUUUUGAAAUAAGGUCUCACUCUGUCAUCCAGGCUGGAGUGCAGUGGCAAAAUCACAAUACCCUGCAGCCUUGACCUCAUGGGCUCAAGCAGUCCUCCCACCUCAGCCUCCUGGGUAGCUGGGACUACAGGCUUGCACUACCACACCCAGCUUAUUUUUUGUAGAGACAGAGUUUCGUCAUGUUGCCCAGGCUGGUCUCAGGAGUCACUCCUGAGCUCAAGUGAUCCGCCUGCCUUGGCCUCCCACAGUGCUGGGAUUACAGGAGUGAGCCACCAUGUCUGGUCCUCUGACCCUUUUAGCAGGAAAUCCAGCCCAGCCCCUGAACGGCAUGUUAGACAGUUCAACAAAGCCUUCUAGAAGACCAAAGAAGACUCAUAGGAAUAAGCCUCUUGCUGAUUAAUGGAAACAUGACCAUUUGUGGAGAAAGUGCAAUCUGCAUUGAACACCUUUAGGGGAACCUGUCAUUUAAGACUUCAAGCAUUACCAUGAAAACUUCCUCUGAAACACCUUACAGACAUCUCUGUAAAACAGAUUUAAAAAGAAACACAUUUCUGCUUAAUCGGUACACAUCAAAUGGCGAUUUAAGAGCAAGGCUAGGAAACCAGAAGAUGAUAUGCAUAUACAUAAAGUUGCCACUAUUCCAAAUAGUAAAAUAAAGACAAAGUCAAUGGUCCUAGGAGAGCUGGUGGGUUGUGGAGCCAGGAGAGAAAGGCAGCUCCCUUCACCUUCCCUGUACAUUCCAGGAGGCCCUAGAAUGACCUAGAUGGUGUUACGCACAAAGCCCUCCUUUUCCCAUCCCGCCAUCAUCUCAGGAGCAAAUGGCCACACUCGGGUAUACGGAGCAGCUCAAGCAACCAGGUCUUCCUGCCAUUCCCCUGAAAGGGCUGGUUUUGCCAAACGCCAGAGCCACAUUGUGUUAAUCAGCGCCCAUCCCUAGACACAGGGGCUUGCAGCCUUGUCACACAAAUGAGCCAUGGAGAUGUUUCCGACUCCUCCCCUCCCUGCCACUCACAAGCAGCCAGCUGCCGAGCCCUGCAGACUCUUCCUUUACGACGUCAGUUGUAUCCACUUCCCUUCUGGUCCCACACCCAAGUUCAGGACCAUUUUAGCACGUGCCUACAUUAUUGCCACAGCCAUUGUCUUCAUCUGUUUUGUGCUGCUGUACAAGGAACAAACUUAUUUGGCUUGUGGUUUGGGAGGUUGGGAAAUCCAAGAUCCAGGGCCACAUCUGCUGAAGGCCUUCCUGCUGUACCGUAACAUAACGGGAGGCAUCACUGGUGAGAGAGAGAGAGCACAAGAAAGGGCCAAACUCGCUUUUAUAGUGAACCCACUCCUGCAAUAACAACGUUCAAAUGCUAACCACCUCUUCCCGUCCCUGCCCCUCAACAUGGCCAUGCUGGGGAUUAAGUGUCCAACACAUGAGCUUUGGGAUACAUGUUCCAACUACAGCCGCCACCUGCUGUCCUCCUUGCCUUCUCCCUCUUCUCUACACUUCUGCCGGAUUCUCUAGUUGGAUUAAUCUUGAAACAUCACUUAAUUGUUACCACUCUCCCAAAAGCAGUCAAUUUUAACCCAUUCCCAACAGGCUUGAGAAUAAAAGUUUCAGCCAAUCAGUCAUCACCUGCUUCCAUCUGAACCCCAUCUUCCUUUCUAGCCUAAGCAUAUUCUUUGAUGCUUACUAUUUUCCUACCUCACCUUGGGGAGAUUCCAGGUACUAGAGAAAGGCAGAUGAGUCAGAGGCUUCCCUUCCAGAGAGGAGCCCAUCUAUGCACUGAUGCUUAACCCAGGCAAUGGAUCAGAAGCUCUCUGGGACUCAGACCUAGACCUACAGAAUAUAUUUAUGGGGGUAAAGGCUGGGAGUGUGCGUGUUUUUAAGGAGUUCCACAAGUGAUUCUGCCACAUAGCACCAACUGUAAGGGAAGACAGAUAUGUAACAAUGUUCAGUGCCAUUACAGGGAGUCCAGGAGGGCCCACCAUGGCCCUAAGAUUUAAGGAGACAGCUAGUUAAACUCUUUGUUUUUUUGUUUUUUUUUUGAGACGGAGUUUUGCUGUGCCGCCCAGGCUGGAGUGCAAUGUUGCAAUCUCGGCUUACCGCAACCUCCGCCUCCUGGGUUCAAGCGAUUCUCCUGCCUCAGCCUCCCAAGUAGCUGGGACUACAGGCAUGCGCCACCACGCCCAGCUAAUUUUUGUAUUUUUAGUAUAGACGGGGUUUCACCAUGUUGGCCAGGAUGGUCUUGAUCUCUUGACCUUGUGAUCCGCCCGCCUCGGCCUCCCAAAGUGCUGGGAUUACAGGCGUGAGCCACCACACCUGGCUUGUUAAACAAACUCUCCAAACACCACUUCAACAUCACCCACUCCCAUGGGCAUUCCUAACAGAAAAAAGAAUCAACAAAGAUGUGGAAAUGUAAGCCUGUUUGAAAAAUGGCAAGUGCGCAGGAUAAAGCAGUGAACUCAGCUCAAGCACAAGAUACAACACGGGUUGCAAAACAGGUAGAGAGAGGUGCAAACUGGGGGGAUGAGGUCAGCUGGACCUCAGUAAAAGCAGCUUUGAUUUCUGAACUUUGCCGACAGGUAGGGGGGCACCAAGGGAGGUUUACGCCCUGCAAAGGGACAGGACCCACUUACAGUUUAGAAAGACGACUCUGGCCAUGGUCUGAAGGGUGGGCAGAACCAAGAGAAGGCCCUGAAAGCAGUGAGGCUAACUGAACACCACACAUUUGGCUUAAAAAGCAAGGGAAAGAACAGAGUGGGGGGCCAGGCACGGUGGCUCACGCCUGUAACCCCUGCACUUUGGGAGGCCAAGGUGGGUGGAUCACCUGAGGUCAGGAGUUCGAGACCAGCCUGGCCAACAUGGCGAAACCCCGUCUCUACUAAAAAUAUAAAAAUUAGCCGGGCAUGGUGGCAGGUGCCUGUAAUUCCAGCUACUUGGGAGGCUGAGGCAGAAGAAUUGCUUGAACCCAGGAGGCAAAGGUUGCAGUGAGCUGAUAUCAUGCCACUGCACUCCAGCCUGGGCGGCAGAGUGAGACUCUGUCUCAAAAUACAAAACAAACAAACAAACAAAAACAAAACAAAACAAAAACAAACCAGAGUGGGGCACACUCCCACUUUGACAGGGAAACAAAAUAUGUGUGUGAACCUCUGAAAAGAUACACAAGGAAAAUGACCAUGGCUGACUCUGGGAAGAGAAAUGGGUGAAGACGAGGAUGGAGGGACACGCACUCUUACCAAAUGAUCUCCUUAUCUUUGGAAUGCUGCACAUCUUAACUAUUCAAUAGAUUAUUUAAGAGGUAAUAAAAACCGUUAUCAAGUUAUUUUAUCAGUUCACAAAAGAGACGAUGAAGAUGUGAAAACUGUGGUGGCUGUCAGGUAAGAAGAGAAAAGCUGUGAGAUCAAAGAGAAAGAAUCCACGAAGUUUUAGAGUUUUAGUGGCUGACGUAAGGGAAGAAAACAUUUCAACAGUGAGAGAAGUAACAGAAGCCACAGAAAUUCAAAACAGAAUAAGGGCUGGGCAUGGUGGCUCACGCCUGUAAUCCCAGCACUUUGGGAGGCCGAGGUGGGUGGAUCACUUGAGGUCAGGAGUUUGAGACCAGCCUGGCCAACAUAGUGAAACCCCAUCUCUACUGAAAACACAAAAAAUUAGCCAGGCGUGGUGGCAGGCACCUGUAAUCCCAGCUACUCGGGAGACUGAGGCAGGAGAAUUGUUUGAAUAUGGGAGGUGGAGGUUGCAGUGAGCAGAGAUUGCGCCAAUGCACUCCAGCCUGGGUGACAGAGCGAGACUCCGUCUCAAAACAACAACAACAACAAAACAAAACAACAAAACAGAAUAAGGACUAAAAACCAGCCACUGACUCCAUCAACUAAGGUGACCUUGUGAAGGCGGGUUAGAAAUCACACUGCAGCGGGCUGCGCUGGGAACAGCAAUCCUGGAAGCAGAUGGUUAGUGGUUUUUGAAUUUGGGGUGAAAAGAGUAACAGAAAAGAGAGAUGAGGCAAUAGCUGUAGAGGAAAA
rnacentral:lncRNA from 1 species